rnacentral:lncRNA from 1 species
CGUGCAGUAUUAAGAGCACCGCGCGUACAUAUACUUACACACGUCUUUGAUUAAUUUGAUCUCCCUCUUAAUUAUUAAUUUCCUUGCAUGUGCACGCUAACACCUCUUUCUUUCUUUCUUUCUUUCUUUCUUUCUUUCUUUCUUUCCAUCUACAUAUCUUCCUUUUCUUCUUUUCCGCCGUUUCACGUCAAUACACGCAUGUAUGCAUGUGGCUAUGAGUUUGCAUCAUGCGUGCUGAUGGCGCCCAAGAAAAAUAUCCAUGCGUAUUUCCGGCCGUACCCCAUUUCCAGUUCCAUGCAUGCAUGUAUUCAUCGACCAUAUAUAUCUGCUCUUUAUAUAAUCAGGUGUUUGUUGUGCUUCCAGUACUCCUUCCGGCGCAUGCAUGUACAUCACACACACACACGCACGCACAAAGACAGCUAGCUAGCUGUACACAUGUACAGUUGAGAUCGAUCGAUAAUGACACGCUUCCCUUUGCCGAUUCAGUCCUGAUGAGACUCCUGUACAUAUAUACUAGCAGUAAUCAGUUGAGUUUGUGUACGCGUACGUACGUACGGAUCGACACCUAGCGGCUGGCGCAUGUAUAUCGCAUCCAUCGAUUAGGAUAACAAACUGAGAUAGAAGAUGUGUAGUACGGAGUAUUAAUUAAC